rnacentral:rRNA from 1 species
UGGCGGUAAAUUAUCUAUUUAGAGGAACCUGCUCUGUAAUCAAUAUUACAUGUUAUUUUUUACUUUAUUUUAUUUUAUAUACCGUUGUAUUAAAAAUUAAUUAAAAAAUUAAUUUUGUUAGUUAAAAUAAAAUGACUUCAAAUCAAGGUUUAGAUUAUAAUAAAGAAGAAGUGGGUUACCCUAGUUAAAAUUGUAGUUUUUGGUGAAAAAGGAUUUAAAUGUAAAAGAUUAAAAAUUUAAUUGACUUUAGCUUCUUAUUU